CCGGGGGGCGAAUUAGCCAUGCUAGUUGCACGAGUUCAUACUCGUGGCGAAAAGCUCAGUAACACGUGGCCAAACUACCCUACAGAGAACGAUAACCUCGGGAAACUGAGGCUAAUAGUUCAUACGGGAGUCAUGCUGGAAUGCCGACUCCCCGAAACGCUCAGGCGCUGUAGGAUGUGGCUGCGGCCGAUUAGGUAGACGGUGGGGUAACGGCCCACCGUGCCGAUAAUCGGUACGGGUUGUGAGAGCAAGAGCCCGGAGACGGAAUCUGAGACAAGAUUCCGGGCCCUACGGGGCGCAGCAGGCGCGAAACCUUUACACUGCACGCAAGUGCGAUAAGGGGACCCCAAGUGCGAGGGCAUAUAGUCCUCGCUUUUCACGACUGUAAGGCGGUCGUGGAAUAAGAGCUGGGCAAGACCGGUGCCAGCCGCCGCGGUAAUACCGGCAGCUCAAGUGAUGACCGAUAUUAUUGGGCCUAAAGCGUCCGUAGCCGGCCACGAAGGUUCAUCGGGAAAUCCGCCAGCUCAACUGGCGGGCGUCCGGUGAAAACCACGUGGCUUGGGACCGGAAGGCUCGAGGGGUACGUCCGGGGUAGGAGUGAAAUCCCGUAAUCCUGGACGGACCACCGAUGGCGAAAGCACCUCGAGAAGACGGAUCCGACGGUGAGGGACGAAAGCUAGGGUCUCGAACCGGAUUAGAUACCCGGGUAGUCCUAGCUGUAAACGAUGCUCGCUAGGUGUGGCACAGGCUACGAGCCUGUGCUGUGCCGUAGGGAAGCCGAGAAGCGAGCCGCCUGGGAAGUACGUCCGCAAGGAUGAAACUUAAAGGAAUUGGCGGGGGGAGCACUACAACCGGAGGAGCCUGCGGUUUAUGAUCCCCCCCCCCCCCCAGAAA
rnacentral:rRNA from 1 species